ACGGAGGGGGCUAGCGUUGUUCGGAUUUACUGGGCGUAAAGCGCACGUAGGCGGAUCGAUCAGUCAGGGGUGAAAGGCCUGGGCUCAACCCAGGAACUGCCUUUGAUACUGUCGAUCUUGAAUCCGGGAGAGGUGAGCGGAAUUCCAAGUGUAGAGGUGAAAUUCGUAGAUAUUUGGAAGAACACCGGUGGCGAAGGCGGCUCACUGGACCGGUAUUGACGCUGAGGUGCGAAAGCGUGGGGAGCGAACAGG
rnacentral:rRNA from 1 species